rnacentral:rRNA from 1 species
AGCAGAGAUGCUUUGGUGCCUUUCGGGAACUCUGAGACAGGUGCUGCAUGGCUGUCGUCAGCUCGUGUUGUGAAAUGUUGGGUUAAGUCCCGCAACGAGCGCAACCCUUAUCCUUUGUUGCCAGCGGUCCGGCCGGGAACUCAAAGGAGACUGCCAGUGAUAAACUGGAGGAAGGUGGGGAUGACGUCAAGUCAUCAUGGCCCUUACGAGUAGGGCUACACACGUGCUACAAUGGCGCAUACAAAGAGAAGCGACCUCGCGAGAGCAAGCAGACCUCAUAAAGUGCGUCGUAGUCCGGAUUGGAGUCUGCAACUCGACUCCAUGAAGUCGGAAUCGCUAGUAAUCGUGGAUCAGAAUGCCACGGUGAAUACGUUCCCGGGCCUUGUACACACCGCCCGUCACACCAUGGGAGUGGGUUGCAAAAGAAGUAGGUAGCUUAACCUUCGGGAGGGCGCUUACCACUUUGUGAUUCAUGACUGGGGUGAAGUCGUAACAAGGUAAGCGUAGUGCU